GUGGUUGCUUAUUGGUCCAACAUCUUCUAAUCUGUUUAAUUUAAAGUACAAACUUAGUUCAUUGAUGCAUGUAUAUUCCAAGAAGUGUCUUUGUAUACUCUGAAUCCCUAUCAUCGAAAGCUACACACCCUAGCACACUCAUCUCGUUCAUCACUCAACUUGAAUUAUUUACUAUAUUAUGAUAACAUUUCACUAACUUUGGCCAAAUAAAGGCUUACAUUCAAUUUCUAUUUUAAAUUUGAGUAUAGGAAAAAUCCAUACCAUUAAGAGAGACAUAAAGUGGUAAGCUUAUGAGAAAUCAAAUGCUCACUACCUAUCCUUCUAAAACUUCCACAAGAAUUUGUGGAACCUCCGCAUUAUGCUAAUUCGCUGAAUCGAGUUUUGAGUUUUUACAAGCCAGUUAACCUCCCCCUCUAGGCCUUUCUUAUCCUUUGGACGGUGCAACUGUGCAUUAUCUUCUUUUUUGUCUCUAUUACAUCAUCUUAUUUUUUUGUUAAACGGUGGCAACCACUUUUUAUUUUCUUUUUUUCUUAGCUUGGUAAACCUGUAUAAGAACUUGGUUAGUUCAGUUAUAGGUAGAACCAAACAAAAAAACCAAAAUCAAAUUUUGUUGAUUUUCUUUUUGAAAAAAACCUCUCGGUCCCUGAUUCUUAUGAGAUGGACAACCCAUUAUCAGUUCAAUCCAGCCAUGAAUGACAAUAGGUUAGGAUUAAAACAAUAUUAUGGUAUAGAAAGAAAAAUGAUCGGUUUGGAAUUUUUCAUAUUUAUGAAAUCAAUGACAACUUUUAUAUUUGGCCAGAUUCAUAAAUGAUAUCGUGUAGUAAACGAUUCAAGCUCAUUGAUGGUUGAGAUGAGCAUGCUAGGGUCUAUAGCUUGCAAUGACAGUAAUUCAGAGUGUACAUAGAUGCGUUGUUACAAUACUUGGACCGUAUAUGCAUGAAUAAGCAAGUUUUUCUGUCAAAUUAAACUUAUGAGAAGAUUGUGGAUCAAUAUGCACCCACCUAUAUUGUUGUUGUAUUAAAUUGGACAAAUUACAAGAUGUUGGACUAACAUACACCCACUUAGAUACUUGUCGUAUGGUAAGUGUAAUUUACUCUUUAUCUUAUGACCUCUUCCUGUUAUGAAGUAGACUAUACAAUUUGGAUAAUAUGAAUUCAUCCUAUAUAGUUUCCUAUCAAUAUAAUAGAAUAUAGUUUAACAUUUAGCC
rnacentral:lncRNA from 1 species